rnacentral:rRNA from 2 species
AGUAUGGUCGCAAGGCUGAAACUUAAAGGAAUUGACGGAAGGGCACCACCAGGAGUGGAGCCUGCGGCUUAAUUUGACUCAACACGGGACAGCUUACCAGGUCCAGACAUGAUAAGGAUUGACAAGUUAGAGACUUCUCUUGAUCUCAUGGGUGGUGGUGCAUGGCCGUUUUUAGUCCUUGGAGUGAUUUGUCUGCUUAAUUGCGAUAACGGACGAGACCUUAACCUGCUAAAUAGGGUGCGCAACGCCAGUUGCGUACUCUUCUUAGAGGGACUAUGGGGAACAACCCCAUGGAAGUUUGAGGCAACAACAGGUCUGUGAUGCCCUUAGACGUUCUGGGCCGCACGCGCGCUACACUGACGGAGCCAGCAAGCACCCUUUGCCGAGAGGCAUGGGGAAUCUCGUGAAACUCCGUCGUGCUGGGGAUAGAGCAUUGUAAUUUUUGCUCUUCAACGAGGAAUUCCUAGUAAGCGCAAGUCAUUAGCUUGCGUUGAUUACGUCCCUGCCCUUUGUACACACCGCCCGUCGUUACUAUCGAUGAAUGGCCAAGUGAGCCCUCAAGACGGCCGCUGAAUGGGGGGCAACCUCUGUCUGGCGGCUGGAAUCUGUGCAAACUUGGUCA